ensembl:lncRNA
GUGGCAAAAGAUAACAUAAAAUCUUUGUUGUGAAUUAGUCAGUAGGGUCUGACACAUGCUAACAAGGUUCCUGACUAGUGCCUCAGUAUUUCAGCACCUUAAGCAUGAUAAGGGCUUCCCUGGUGGCUCAGACAGUAAAGCAUCUGCCUGCAAUACAGGAGACCUGGGUUCAAUCCCUGGGUCGGGAAGAUCCCCUGGAGAAGGAAAUGGCAACCCACUCCAGUACUCUUGCCUGGAAAAUUCCAUGGACAGAGAAGCCUGGUAGGCUACAGUCCAUGGGAUCACAAAGAGUCAGACAUGACUGAGCAACUCCACUUCAAGCAUGAUAAAAUUCAGUCAACAAUAAAGUGAGUGUUUCAACUAGAAAAAAGAAUUUAAUAGUGGGAAAUCUUUACAUUUGGCCUUUAAAAGUUACUGUUAACUGAGGACCUAUUAGGUACCAAGCAUAGGACUAGGUUUCUCAGGUGAUGCUAGUGGUAAAGAACAUGUCUGCCAACGUAGGAGACAUAAGAGACGCGGGUUCAGUCCUUGGGUUGGGAAGAUCCCCUGGAGGAGGGCAUGGCAACCCACUCCAGUGUUCUUCCCUAGUGAAUCCUAUGGACAGAGAAUCCUGGUGGGCUACAGUCCAUGGGGUUGCAGAGUCAGACACUACUAAAGUGACUUAAUACAGUACUGAGAGUUAACUUUGGCAGGUUGAUAAGGAGUCCAAGCCUAAGGCCCCUUUAUGGAGGAGGUAAGCAUUCUUUUUCACAUUCUUUUGCUAUAGACAAAUAGGCCUUGUAGGCAGCAGUAUUUCUUGUUCAAGGACAUGCCUCUUUUUGAGCUUUGGAUGUAUUUUAUGGGGGAAAGUCUGGGUAAAAACUUCCACAGCCUUGGGCUCUGGAUUAACCUGUUCCUUCUGACUAAUCUAGUGCUGAUGUCAUCCCAGGAUGUAUGUUACAGGAAAGGGUCAGCAAAGUUCUCACAGCCUUAAGGUAUUUUUUGUCUAUUCUCAGAUGUAUAUAAGGCCCUACUUAAAUUAGUGAGAGUUAAAUCUCCUUCGGAGACCAUGAAUCCAGCGGCACUGUUCACUGUUUACCAAUAAGCUAUCAUCUUUGGUGCUCGUCCAGGAUCUUCAAGACAAGCUGUGCAUCUGGUCUAUAUGGAUGGAGGCACUCCAUCUGUGGCAACUGUGAGAUUUCUGAGGACACAGAUUGGGAAUUCCAGGAUCUGGUCAGAUUGGAAGUGUGAUGGGCUUCAUUUGGUAAGGCUGGCUCUUAGCGGACCAGAGGAGGUUCUCCAGUGGCUUUUGUCUCAACUCCUUAGAUAUUCUUUCUGUGUAAUCUGUGGAAAUGAACUGGAAGGAUUGGCCCUAAUAGCUCAACAAAAAUCACUUUUUCCUCGCUGGCUGGCCCUUCACCACCUAUUUUUUUUCUUAUCACCCCGGGUGGCAUCAGAGGAGGAGCAGAAAUCAUGCAAAGGCAUUAAUAGUGAGGAACUGGACAUCAAUCUGGGAUGCCAUCAGGACUACCCUCGCUGCAUCUCCACCCCACCUUGGUGGUAGAAUGGGGAGGGAUGGUAAUAAGACACCUGCAUCGGAUUUCUUUAAGAGAAGACCUCACUUGCCCAGAGAGACAAUCCCUGCUGGGACAACAUCUUAUCAAUCAGUCUACCCCUGUCAUCAGAGCCAAUUUGAACACUCUGGUUUAAAUUUUAGCUAUGAAACUGUGACUACAAAAAGAAGAGAUGACAUUUUUGACACUGAAUGGCCAUGAUAUUUUUUAGACUCUGGAAAAAAUAGGUUAAAAUGAAAUCUUUUUGAAAUUGCAAAACCAGUUCUUCUAGCACAUGCAAUUAGGAAAAAGCUGACUUGUUAAAAUACUUUUUUUGGAGCUCCGAUCCUGCCUGAGAAACAGAAAACAUGCCUGGGGAAGAAACUGAAGUUAACUCUUAUCAUGUCCUUGAGAUACACAGCCCACUCUGUCUGGGACUCCAACCAUGAGCAAGUUGGCAGAACUUCAAGCCAAGAAAAAAAAGGGGGGGAGCAAAGAGACAUUUUAUAUUUCAAGUGGAAAACUGUGAGGUCUCUGUGUGUGUCUUUGUCCUUGGACAAUAUUGCUGAAGCCUAAUUGGCCUAGAGAGAAAUAUAAAGAAGCUCUUCUUCUCAAGUUACUGAUGGUUUAAAGCAAUUUAAUGAUUUACAUCUAUGGGUAAAAUUAAAACAUUUUUCUUCUCUCUCUGCCUCGUCCCUCCGAAAUUGGAGACACUUGGGUUCUGGACAGCCUUAUCAAGGAACGCCCUGCUGCUGCUGCUGCUAAGUUGCUUCAGUCGUGUCUGACUCUGUGCGACCCCAUAGAUGGCAGCUCACCAGGCUUCCCCGUCCGUGGAAUUCUCCAGGCAAGAACACUGGAGUGGGUUGCCAUUUCCUUCUCCAAUGCAUGAAAGUGAAAAGUGAAAGUGAAGUUGCUCAAUCGUGUCCCACUCUUAGCAACCCCAUGGACUGCAGCCUACCAGGCUCCCCCAUCCCUGGGGUUCUCCAGGCAAGAACACUGGAGUGGGUUGCCAUUUCCUUCUCCAAUGCAUGAAAGUGAAAAGUGAAAGUGAAGUCGCUCAGUCGUGUCUGACUCUGGCGACCUCAUGGACUGCAGCCUCCCAGGCUCCUCCGUCCGUAGGAUUUUCCAGGCAAAAGUACUGGAGUGGGGUGCCAUUGCCUUCUCCGAGGAACACCCUUCAAGAUAUUUAUUCUUCUGUACUAUCUCUCCCACUACUUCACCAUUUUCUUCUUAGAAUGUCUCUUAAUGUCAUUUCUGAGUUUCUAUUUUCAGCUACCUUCUCACUAUUCUCCCUGGUCAGUUUCAUCCUAUCACAUGGCCUCAACUCUUACCUUUAUACAGAUGACUCCCAAAUCUACCUCUGUGUGAACUUUACUGAGCAGAGUCAGAGUUCAAAUGGUCUACUGGGCAAGUCUAUAUAAUAUUCUCCCAGAAAAAUCAUGACUCAAUAUGUUCAAAUGUGAAGUCUUACUCACACUCCUUCAUUGUUUCCUAUAUCUCCUCAUCCUCUAGCUUGAUUUCUCUAUCUCUAGAUAGUGUCACUACCAUCCUCACAUCACUCAGGCCAAAAAGUUCAUCACCUAAAACUCUCCAUAUGCCCAGUAAUUCUGCAAUGUCUCAUAUCUGUCCCUUCUCUCUAUCUUCAUAGUCCCUCCUCCUUCUGCUUCUUUUUUUUCCUCUUUUCCUCUUUCUUUGUUCUUGCUAUCAAAGUGUGACCAGUAGUCCAGCAACAUCAGCAUCAUUUGGGGAGACUAUUAGAAUGCAGAAUAUUGGGCCCCAUCUAAAGAUCUAUUCAAUCAGAAUCUGCAUUUUAACAAAAUCCGUGCUGCUGCUGCUAAGUCACUUCAGUCGUGUCCAACUCUGUGUGACCCCAUAGACGGCAGCCACCAGGCUCCCCCAUCCCUGGGAUUCUCCAGGCAAGAACACUGGAGUGGGUUGCCAUUUCCUUCUCCAAUGCAUGAAAGUGAAAAGUGAAAGUGAAGUCGCUCAGUCGUGUCCAACUCUUCGCGACCCCAUGGACUGCAGCCUACCAGGCUCCUCCAUCCAUGGGAUUUUCCAGGCAAGAGUACUGGAGUGGGGUUCCAUUGCCUUCUCCAAACAAAAUCCCUAGAUAAUUCAUAUGCACAUUAAAGUACAGUUAGCAACUCCCUAGUUAAGUCUCAAUCAGGAUAGGUAUAAGUCCUCACCAGUGUAUAACCUAUGCACCAUGUUAGUGGCACUCAAGCCCAGCUGCACAUCAGAAUACCUGAGAAGUCUUCAAUUUUCCAUUUAUCUUUUUAUUAUUUAAUCUUUUUAAAAAUAAUACAUUUAUUAGUUGUUUCUUCAAUAGAGAAAUACAAAGAAGGAAAUUACAGUUGAAUUAUGCCUUGCCCAGAUAAUGCCAAAUGACUUUUCUUUUUUGACAAAAGGAAAAUUUACCUAAGGUUAGGCAACUCAAACAGAAUAAAAUAUACAAAAUGAAGAACUGCUAGCACCACCUCAAUUCCAACUCUUUUUCUCAAAUAUUGCUGUUCUUAAUCAGAAUUAACAUCCUAGGAAAUAAUUAACCACAUACCUGCAUAUAUGUUUAUUCUUUUGUUUAAAAAGUAUAAAUUACUCCCUUUUAAUCAUCAUGAUUUUUAUAUUUAAUAUAUCUUAUUUUUCUACAAGCAUAUACAGAGCAUUUCAUAAUUGUUAAACCACAUGGUAUUCCAUUAGAUAGAUGAUUCCAUCUGAUGGAUCAAUUCCCUAUUGACAAGUACUUUGACUGCUUCCAGUUUUAGCUAUUACAAACAAUGCUGCAGUUACCAUGCAUCAGCAUAUGUGUGUGUGUGUGUGUGCACACACGCGCCCGCGCUGUGUUUAGUCGUGUCCAACUCUUAGUGACUCUAUGGACCGUAGCCUGCCAGGCUCCUCUGCCCAUGGGAUUUUUCAGGCAAGAAUACUGGAGUGGGUAGACAUUUCCUUCUCCAGGGGAUCUUCCCGACCCAGAGAUUGAACCUGCAUCUCUUGCAUUGCAGGCGGCUUCUUUACCUCUGAGCCACAAGGGUAGUCUAUCCAUCAGCAUAUAUUUUGAUAAAGUUCUGCAAGUAUAUCCAUAGGGUAAAUUUUUAGUCCAAAAUUGCUGAAUAUAUUGGUUAGGGUGAUUUUGGUUACAAGUAACGAAACACAAUUCCAGGGGUAGGGUGAGCUAGAGCUACCCAGUUUCUUUAAGUGUCUCUACUGUGCAGUCCCUACUUUAUCCAAGUAGUUUUUUUCAGUGUGAUCCCUGGACCAGCAGCAUCAAUCUCACCUGAGAAUUUCUUAGAAAAGGAAAUCCUUUGUCCCUACCACAGAUCUGCAGAAUUUGAAACUCUGAAAGUAGAUAAAGAUCAGCAAUCUAUGUUUUAACAGAUUAGGUGAUUCUGAUGAACACUAAAGACUGAGAACCAGUGCUUUAAGCCAAGGUGCCAAUGAAAUCGCUGACAGUGGCAAUGGAAGCUUUGAAUCUCUUCAUCAAGUCCAGCAGAGAAGAGAAAACUCUGACCCAACAUUCCAAGUAAGUAGGACUCCCAUGGUUCUCCCUCACUGACUUGCUUAGGUCACAAGUCCUCUGAACUAAUGUUGUUUGUGGUCAGAAGAACUGAGAAUAAAAUCUGUUUACCCGCAAAUACGUGGGCUAUGAGUGGGAAGAAUAGACACAUAAAUAAAAAUCUACAACUUCUUGGGAAGGAAAAAAAUGGGGAAUGAUUACUGAGAAGGCACGAGCAACACCUACAACAUUCAAAGAAUAUCUGCAUGUUUUAUUUUGAUAUAUUCUACCAAAUUAUACAUCAAAAAAGUUGUAACAACGUCAAGCCCACCAGCAGCAUAUGAAAACAUCUAGGAUUUCUUCAUACCCUGACUUACUCUGUUUAAAUCAUACUUUAAACAUUUCCCAGUCUUAUAGAUAAAGAUGGCAUUUUAUUGUUUUGAUUUAUAUGCCUUUACUCAUGGAUGAAAUUAAACAUCUUUUCAAAUCUCUAUUGAUGUGUGCAUGUCUUUCUCUGUAGAUUACUUGCUUAUUCUUUAG